GGCGCAGCUCAGUGGUAGACUAUAUGCUUAUCAUGCACAAGACCUUGGGUUCAAUUCCCAACACCA
rnacentral:tRNA from 1 species